rnacentral:rRNA from 1 species
GGAUUAUUGGGCGUAAGCGCGCGUAGGCGGUUUCUUAAGUCUGAUGUGAAGCCCACGGCUCAACCGUGGAGGGUCAUUGGAAACUGGGAAACUUGAGUGCAGAAGAGGAGAGUGGAAUUCCAUGUGUAGCGGUGAAAUGCGCAGAGAUAUGGAGGAACACCAGUGGCGAAGGCGGCUCUCUGGUCUGUAACUGACGCUGAUGUGCGAAAGCGUGGGGAUCAAACAGGAUUAGAUACCCUGGUAGUCCACGCCGUAAACGAUGA